CUGGGGCUGCGGGGUGAAGGGUCGCCGAUAGGGAAAACCGGACAGGCCAGACGCCGCACUCCCCACGACCUCCCCACGACUCGCAGCUACGCCACCACGCAAAGAUCGAGCCGCCCAGGCCCGGGACCACACGUCCCCAGGUAAUUCACAGGUUUUGGGGGAGAGCCCUCAAGCCAAUUACUCCCGGGUGGAGAAGUGGUGCUGGAAGGGAGCUCACUUCGAGCGGGAACGCCGCCUGUUGUCAUGUCUGCGCCGAGAAGGACUCGGUGAGCCAGAGGAGCUGCUGGAGCUGGAGCUGCGGGAUGUGCUGGAACUUCCUGAGCGGCUUGAUGCUGAAGAUGAGCUGGAUCCGCUGCUGGAGCCUGUGCUGGUGCUGGAGCCUGAGCUGGAGGUAGAGCUGGACCGAGACCUGAGGGGCAAGAGGGAGGGGGUCACAGACAAGUGGUGGGAGCAGCAUUUCUUCACUGAACAGGCAAGCCUGCACAUGCUCCCAAGAUGAACCGCUGGCCUCGUAUUUUCAAAACCCACUGCUUUCCCCAGCGGGGCAAACACUGACAUCCUCCGAUCCCUGCCCUAAGCCAAAGCCCUUGGUAGGGACAGAAAACAGCAUACAUAUUGUGCAGUGAUAGGGAAGGAAGAAUGAGCUGCUUCCAACCUACACAGAAGCCUUGCCUACUGGGAGGUAAAGGAGGAGCCUGGCAAGUCAGAGCCACUAACUCAGCUUGGAAGGCAGCUACUGACUAACACAGGCUGGUUUUCAACAGAAGGAAAAGGAAGCUCCAGGCUAGGGCAAUCCAAGCACAACUCCAAAUCAAAAGCACUUGACAGAAAAGCAUACCCCAAGAUGUCCCAUUCCUUAACAUCUCCAGAAAAGAAAGAAUCCCAACACCAUCCUCUGUAUAUAAUGAGAGCAAACCCCAAACCAGUUUGCCAUAAAUUAGAGUCUCUAUUAAAAAUCUGAGUGUGUUCCUUUAUAAGAAGACAGAGCACUCUGCAGGCUCUUCGGGAAGGAAGAGGGACACGGCUGUGGACGCGAGGCCCUGGCAAUGCUCUAACCCGUCAGCCCCACCUGGUGCUGCUGCUACCACUGGAAGCGCUGCGUCUCUUUCGAGUUUUAUCCCUGCCACGAUCCUUCUCGCUUGACUCCUUGGUGGCCCCCUUAUCUUUAGAGCGAUCCUUGGACUUCUCAUCAGAGCGGU